UACGUAGGCAGCGAGCGUUGUUCGGAGUUACUGGGCGUAAAGCGUGCGUAGGCGGUUGUCUAAGUCUGGUGUGAAAUCUCCCGGCUCAACUGGGAGGGUGCGCCGGAAACUGGAUGACUGGAGUGCCGGAGAGGUAAGCGGAAUUCCUGGUGUAGCGGUGAAAUGCGUAGAGAUCAGGAGGAACACCUGUGGUGUAGGCAGCUUACUGGACGGUGACUGACGCUGAGGCACGAAAGCGUGGGUAGCAAACAGG
rnacentral:rRNA from 1 species